rnacentral:rRNA from 1 species
AACGAACGCUGGCGGCGCGCCUAAUACAUGCAAGUCGAGCGAGAAGACGUAGCAAUACGUUUGUAAAGCGGCGAACGGGUGAGGAAUACAUGGGUAACCUACCCUCGAGUGGGGAAUAACUAGCCGAAAGGUUAGCUAAUACCGCGUACGCUCCUUGGACUUCGGUUCAGGGAGGAAAGCGAUACCGUGGGUAUCGCGCUCUUGGAUGGGCUCAUGUCCUAUCAGCUUGUUGGUGAGGUAACGGCUCACCAAGGCUUCGACGGGUAGCUGGUCUGAGAGGGCGAUCAGCCACACUGGCACUGCGACACGGGCCAGACUCCUACGGGAGGCAGCAGUAAGGAAUAUUGCGCAAUGGGCGAAAGCCUGACGCAGCGACGCCGCGUGGGGGAUGAAGGUCUUCGGAUUGUAACCCCUUUCGGGAGGGAAGAUGGAAUGAGCAAUCGUUCGGACGGUACCUCC